AACGUGAUUGCAGCUGUACCAUUCUCUUCAUCUAUCUCUUCAAUUUCAGCUUCAUAACACCUGUAAAGAUAUCAUGGCUGUAAGCAUGAAUACCCGAGGAAUUGUACAGUCUAUCUGAUCUUAGUUAAGGUUGAAGAAAUUCUCCUGGUCAAAAUGGACUCUUUAGCUUCAAAAAAAUUCAGGUACCCAUUUCAGCCCCAGAAAAAUCUUGGCUGCUCCUAAAUCAAGUCAUUCUCAUUUUGAAUUCUGCAAUGCACCAAUUUUUCUUUCCUAUUCGACUAAGCCAUCUCAAAAGUCUAAACAGUUUAGUUCAACAUACUAGAGUGACCCUUGACACUCUACUCUCUGCAGCUUUUGGAAACUGCAAAUGCGAUCUAUACUUCAGUGGCCAUAAGGAAACUGGACAUUGAAACUAUGUCAUCUAAGUAACAAAA